rnacentral:rRNA from 1 species
AUACGGAGGAUCCGAGCGUUAUCCGGAUUUAUUGGGUUUAAAGGGUGCGCAGGCGGGAGAUUAAGUCGGCGGUGAAAUUUUGCAGCUCAACUGUAAAAGUGCCUUCGAAACUGGUUUCCUUGAGUGUAGAUGAAGUAGGCGGAAUUUGUGGUGUAGCGGGGAAAGGCAUAGAUAUCACGAAGAAACCCGAUUGCGCAGGCAGCUUACUAAACUACUACGGACGCUCAGGCACGAAGGCGUGGGGAUCAAACAGGAUUAGAUACCCUGGUAGUCCACGCAGUAAACGAUGAUGGCUAACCGCUGGGCUUAUCAGUUCAGUGGCCAAGCGAAAGCGAUAAGCCAUCCACCUGGGGAGUACGACCGCAAGGUUGAAACUCAAAUGAAUUGACGGGG